UCGUACUUUGAAAAAUUCUGUCUCUCUCUGAUCUCUUCUCAAUCAUCUCUGCUGAAUAACAGAGACGAACCUAAGUCAUCUCUGCCUGCGUAUCUCCGAAGAAAAAUCCAAUCUUUUCUAACCAAAUCUUAUCAUCACAAAUCAAAAGAGAAAAAGAUAAUUACAGUAAAAAGGAAGAAUGUCGUCAACAACUACAGCAGCAGCAGGAGCAGCAACAACAGCAAACAAUAAUGGAAGGCAAACAUAUUGGUGUCAUGAAUGUGAUAUGAGUGUAUCUCUCUUAUCAUCAUCUCAACCUCUUCUUUGUGCACAUUGCAAUGGCGAUUUCUUAGAAGAAAUGGAAACCCCGAUUAACCACAAUUCGUCAUCAAACCCUAAUUUCCCAAAUUCUAAUAACAAUAAUCCAUCUCUUCCUCUGCUGCAUCCAUUUCCUAUCCUUUCACCUCCUCAAACCCUAACUACACCUACUACUGAUGAUGAUACUAAUGAUUUCGAUUCAUUUCAAAUCCCAUCUCCGAUUCGUGUAUCUGAUGCUUACCUUCUUGAUCGUUUAAUUCAACACUUAGCUGAUCCUCAUGAUGGUAUUCCUGGAUUCCCGAUUCGACAACAUCAUCAGACUUCAUCCCCAGCUUCUAAAGCAUCUGUUGAAUCAAUACCCACAGUUAAAAUCACUAGUUCAUUGUUGAAUUCUGAUUCAAUUUUAUGUGCUGUUUGUAAAGAUGAGUUCUUGGUUGAUGUCGAAGCUAAACAAUUACCUUGUAAUCACAUCUAUCAUUUUGAUUGUAUUUUGCCAUGGCUUGAACAGCAUAAUUCAUGUCCUGUGUGUAGGUUUUGUUUACCUACAGAUGAACCCGAGAGAAGAUCGACUCAUACUAGAACUAGGGUUAGAUUUGGGAAUUUGAUGGAUGAUAUCGAGGAUGAUGCUGAUGAUCUGUUUGGUAUGGGAAAUACUUUGAGACACAUUGCUAGGAGACACAGAUUGGUUUUCCCAAUGAGGUCCACUACUGGUGUGGAUUCUUCGUCCUCCCCAACUCAGAUGGCGGAAGCUGAGACUAGUGCAGCUGGACCUGCUAAUAGUGGUGAGACUGUAUCGAGUUGGCCUAUUGAAGGUGGAAGUAGAAUUGCUGGUAGUCGUGGUAGUCGGGGUGGAGGAAGUAAUGGUGGUGGAAGGCUGGACGAGGAUGGUGAUACUGUAAUGUCUGAAAUCAGGGGAGGUUUGCUGGAAUGAAACUUCUAAAGUUGAAAUAGACAUAUCAGGGCUUAAAGAAUGAGACUAGGGCACCCUUGAAAUGCAUAUAUCAUUUCGUGUAAAUGUAGAUGAUAUCAUGCUAAUUUCAUGGUCCCGCUAAUGCUGGAUAUUGGUUGGAAUUUCCAAACAGUGUGGCUUCUGCUGAUGUUAUCACUUAUAUUCCUUACCUUCUUUCUUUUGUUCAAUAAUAAAUUAAGGAAUGUCCUGGUUAAAAGAACUGAUAGCUGUUGCACUCUGAUACAUUCCACCAAGAAAACUCUUUUACUUUGAGUAACUAGGAUUUUGAAAGCCGAAACCUCCUUGAUCAAAUAUCAAAUGGGUGACUAGUUUAUAAAAGGUAUCCUAUUUGUGUGAUUUUUCUUAGGAAGUCGUAGAUCCUGCUUAAUAUGUACUUUACAAAGAGGGGUGUCUUCCUCAAGCAUCCACUCAUAGUGUUUUUCAUCAUUGAGUGUUUGGGACUCGCCGGUUAUAAUAUAGAGGUCUAUUUAUAUUUCAUAUGUGUCACUCAGCAAAAUGCAUGAACCUUACUUCGAAAAGCUUUUAACUGUGUUGUGCAUUUUUCUUUCUUUGUUUUUUUAUAUCUAGUGAUCUUCCAAUUUCCAGCUCAAUUACCUCAUAUUUUCUGUAGUUAGAUUCAGACCUUUUAUUUAUAACGUUUUAAGUAUUGUGAGAGUUGUUACUAGUUUACCAAGGCAUGCCAAUCAUUCUAUGCCUAUCAAUCAUCCUGUACGUAUUAUACUGCACUGUUUAGCUUAGCUCUAACAUCCUUUUUUACUUUUUAGUUACGCACACUGAAUUUGUAGCUUUGUUUUUCUGAAUUUUUGA